UCAGUUUAAGGAUAAACUGGAUCCAGUUUAUUUUUAUCAUCAUUUAGGUAUAUGGUGCAUACUAUUAUUGUAAUUGAAACAAUUGAAAAACUUUAUCACAGUUCAUUUUCUGAUGAUUUACGCUUACUCGUCGGUAAUAGCCUAAUAGGUGUUAAAAUCAGCUUCAAUAGUAGCGGAUGAAAACACGUCAAAAUUUUCUGCUAUUCUGGAAUACUUUGCAAAAACGGAUAUAUCUCUACAGUUCGCGUUCAAAAGUAUUAUCAGUCUAAUAUUUUUUUUUACAUAUAUUACUUAUGUGAGUUUUAUCUCUUUUUGUUAAGUUAUUAGGGAAUAAAGUUAAAGAUACUUUUGACGCGUAGUAGUCAUUCCGCUACUUUUGAUGCUGGACGCAAAGAGCAUAUAAUCACUACGUUUUACGUAUAGCAGCAUUCUGCACACUGCACCUGGGACAAAUAAAAUCAACAAACUAUGGAUAUACCUGAUAAUGCAGACCUGGAUCCUGCAACUUUCCAAGAGGCCCGGAGGCUCAAAGUUCAGAGCUGCAUAAGCAGGAUAGCACAUGCAUCCACAUGCCGCAUCGAGGACUGCCAGGCCCCAUCCUGCGUAAAGAUGAAAAGCGUCAUUGCACACACCAAGCUCUGCAAAAGGAAGACUCAUGGUGAUUGUCCAAUCUGCAAGCAGCUUAUUGCUUUGUGCUGCUACCAUGCAAAGAACUGCAGAGACAGGCGAGAGACCUGCUCGGUACCAUUCUGCUCGCGCAUCAAACAAAAAUUGAAACAGCGUCUGCUACUGAUGCAACCUAUUACACCUGCUUUCAGAAGCCAUAGCAAUGACCUCUUGUUGAAUACUAUCUCAAACACAAACUCGACGAUGUUGAUAUUUGACCAACUGAUUGAAAAUAAGCCCUCAUUCGCAAAGAAACUAGAGAGAGAGAUAUAUGAUGGUGCAGACUCCUCAACCGAUUACUACCGCUUGAUGGCCACGAAGAAGUGGGAGAUUGAGAUGGGCAUUGAAGAUAAACUGCGCAUGGAGCAACGUGAGAUGGAAGAGAUUAUAAACUUACUUGGAAAUCGUUAAAAAGAGUAGGUAGGUACAUACAAACUAUAAAAUUAUAAUUUUACAUUGGUAACACAACACUGCUAAAUCAAACAAGUGUCUGCGCCUAUCUAGGAUUAGGUACAUAGUACCUAAUUAUUACCUAUACGAUUUGAAUCUUUACCACCAUUAACUUGGGUACCUUUAUAUGGAAGUACUAGUAAUUUACUUUUCAUUGUAAUUUUCUACACCGUGUUUUUUUUUAUUUCCGUUAAUUUCAGGGGUGCAUUCCUGAGCUUAAAUCUAGUAACUUUCUCAAAGACACCGAUAUUCUAAUUAUGUAACUCCAUUUCGGAGAUAAUCGAUAAUUUAUUUUUUUCCUUUAAGGCCUCUACAAGCGUGUACACUUGCCUUAGGGCCGGUUUAAAUAUUGAUUAGUGUUUAGAAUGAGUUCAUGCAUUUGCUACUAAACUUAAAUACAAUCUCGGUCGCUCGAUGUUCGAAAUAGAGAUGGGUAACUCAGGAGUGAUAGAUAAAAGAGCUUGUCUUUACGAAUCCGAAUGUAUCAGUAUAUCCGCACCGCUCACUCCCUCGGCAACGAUUUACUAAAGGGAAAGCGAUGUCUCGGUCGCGCGUCGACCGAAGUAACACGAACAAGCGACAGCGGUCGUUCCGGCGGAUUCGGACGCGUCAUUCGCUAUUCCGCGGGAACGAGAAGUAGAUAGUAUAGUAUUUCUCGCUCGCGCAGGAUGCAAUGCAAAUUGCAAUGAUGACUUAUUAAUUCGGUUAAGGUGGUUCUCCUUGCUCGAUUUUCAUACAACCUUUCUUGGCACCCUAGCUCCUAUUACAUAGGGUUUCUUCACUUGUAUAUGUAAUGUUUGGGUAGUAUAUAUAUUUCUGUCUUCGCUUAACGUAAAAAAAUACUAGAUUUUGAUUAAAAUUAUUAAGAAAAAAGCCUUUGAAUAUUGGUAAAAUUUUGCCUCAUUGCUUGUUUGUGUGAGUGAUGCUUAUAGUAUCGGUGUAAUUCUAACAUGGCGACUUCAUUUGACAAGCAAUCAUUUUUAAUUUGUCAAAGGUGUAACAGAUGGCACUUUAAAACCGCAACACAGAUUACCUGUGUAUCUUCUUCUUUAUAAAUAAUCGUGAGCCGCUCUGACGGUAGACCUAAAUGAAAUUAUGCUCAAUCGAAAGAGCUUGAAAAAAUAUCACUUUUGUAUCGAGAACAUGUAUCCGCAAAAUUCGUAUUGUCGAGUAUUUUGCAUUUAAAAGUGAAAAAAUUUCGACAAAGAAUGCAAAUGUUCAAUUUGUUGUUUGACAUUUGACAGCUCUAUGGUUUCGUUCAGAAAUCUUUAUAAAUAAUCGUGAGCCGCUCUGACGGUAGACCUAAAUGAAAUUAUGCUCAAUCGAAAGAGCUUGAAAAAAUAUCACUUUUGAAUCGAGAACAUGUAUCCGCAAAAUUCGUAUUGUCGAGUAUUUUGCAUUUAAAAGUGAAAAAAUUUCGACAAAGAAUGCAAAUGUUCAAUUUGUUGUUUGACAUUUGACAGCUCUAUGGUUUCGUUCAGAAAUUGUAAAUAUUUUUACGUCCGUCAUGCAUGUUGGACAGAUUGCUGGUGAGAGUGUGGGUAAGCCUAUUUAAAAAAACGACUACUGUCAGUGUAAGAUGACACUGGUGACAGAUGACACACAAACAUGUUACAUGUAUUGUGCAUUGAUUGACGGGUAAAACCAUGGUAAAACCAAAACUUUGUGCUUUACCAGUCUGAAAUUAAGUUUAAUUUUCAGUAAAGGGUCUAAAUGUUUGUGACUAACCUAAGCCCUCCUACGUGUACACGCUCGACGCAGCUAGCCAACUUUAUUGUCACGCGUGCAAUAGAGUACCUAUUAAAGGCCAAGUUCGGCCUGGCCAGCCAGGGUUCACGCUAGACAACGUCAACGAUUUAUUUGGGGUCGCCGUCAUCGAAAACGAUGAGGAGGAGGAGGACUAUACUUACUAACGAUGACACGGCACCGCCGCGUAAAACAAACCUAUGCCGAAAAUCAUAGUUUCAAGUAUUUUGAAUGCUGUAGCCAGAAGACUGCCAGACAAAUGUGGAUUAAUAAGGUUGUGGAGAUAAAAAAAAAUACAUCCACACUACAGCAUCCGAAAUCUCAAAAUCAUUUGCUUCUAUAUCGAAGAGCUCUCUGGAUUUUUUUUAAUGACUUUCCGGUCACUUAUCUUGACAUAAAUGCUGAAGGAAUUAAUUAUGUCACUUUAAAAGGAGACGAAGAGCAGGACGGUAUUAUAAAACAAAGUUAAACAUCACGGCCCGAAGACCACCCAAAUGAUGAAAAUGUAUUAACUAGGUUCAGUUCUUUUCAAAUUUGUAUUAAGGGGAGAAAAUCCAAAAUGAAAAUUCAGAUAAAAACUUUAAUGUUUUAAGAAAUUGUAAGUCAUUUCAAGUUUUAGACAUUUUGAAACAAAAAAAUGUUUUGAGAAGAAUGUGUUUGACAGAUGGUAAAGCUGCGGUUUCUUCUGGGAUGUGGGGAUGCAUAGCGAGGAAUGUGUUUGUAAGAACCAAUACAAAUUGUCCUCCAGGACUGCGCUGAGUGAGGAUAGGUAAUUGAAGUAAUUCUAAUAUUCACUCUAAAGAAACAAAUCUACCUCUCUACGCAUCCUUGCACAUCUCUGAUGGAAUCAUGGUCCUUGCUAAUCUUUGGUGGAAUACCUCAUAGCCUUACUAUACUUGGUUUUGUGAAAGGCUAACUUUAUAUGAUAUACUUAGUUUAAUUCGUUUAUUUAUAUGUAUUUAAUUGCAAAAGACUGAUUGUUGUAGUAAAUUGUACUAUUUUUAUAUAAGAUAUAUUUUUUGUAAAUUCAAGUAAAAAUAAAUAAAAAUAACGUCA